AGUGAACGCUGGCGGCAGGCCUAACACAUGCAAGUCGAACGGCAGCACAGAGGAGCUUGCUCCUUGGGUGGCGAGUGGCGGACGGGGUGAGGAAUACAUCGGAAUCUGCCCAGUCGUGGGGGAUAACAUAGGGAAACUUAUGCUAAUACCGCAUACGACCUACGGGUGAAAGCGGGGGAUCGCAAGACCUCGCGCGAUUGGAUGAGCCGAUGUCCGAUUAGCUAGUUGGCGGGGUAAUGGCCCACCAAGGCGACGAUCGGUAGCUGGUCUGAGAGGAUGAUCAGCCACACUGGAACUGAGACACGGUCCAGACUCCUACGGGAGGCAGCAGUGGGGAAUAUUGGACAAUGGGCGCAAGCCUGAUCCAGCCAUGCCGCGUGGGUGAAG
rnacentral:rRNA from 1 species